AUUGAACGCUGGCGGAAUGCUUUACACAUGCAAGUCGAACGGUAGAGGGGGCAACCCCUCGAGAGUGGCGAACGGGUGAGUAAUAUAUCGGAACGUGCCCAGUCGCGGGGGAUAACGUAGCGAAAGUUACGCUAAUACCGCAUACGAUCUAAGGAUGAAAGCGGGGGAUCGCAAGACCUCGCGCGAUUGGAGCGGCCGAUAUCAGAUUAGGUAGUUGGUGGGGUAAAGGCUCACCAAGCCAACGAUCUGUAGCUGGUCUGAGAGGACGACCAGCCACACUGGAACUGAGACACGGUCCAGACUCCUACGGGAGGCAGCAGUGGGGAAUUUUGGACAAUGGACGCAAGUCUGAUCCAGCCAUUCCGCGUGCAGGAUGAAGGCCCUCGGGUUGUAAACUGCUUUUGUACGGAACGAAAAGGUCUCUCUUAAUACGGGGGGCUCAUGACGGUACCGUAAGAAUAAGCACCGGCUAACUACGUGCCAGCAGCCGCGGUAA
rnacentral:rRNA from 1 species